rnacentral:rRNA from 1 species
UGAGGAAUAUUGGACAAUGGGGGAAACCCUGAUCCAGCCAUGCCGCGUGUGUGAUGAAGGCCCUAGGGUUGUAAAGCACUUUCAAUGGUGAAGAUAAUGACGGUAACCAUAGAAGAAGCCCCGGCUAACUUCGUGCCAGCAGCCGCGGUAAUACGAAGGGGGCUAGCGUUGUUCGGAAUCACUGGGCGUAAAGAGCGUGUAGGUGGCCAUGUAAGUCAGAGGUGAAAGCCCAGGGCUCAACCCUGGAAUUGCCUUUGAAACUACGUGGCUAGAGUAUCGGAGAGGAGUGUGGAAUUCCUAAUGUAGGGGUGAAAUCCGUAGAUAUUAGGAGGAACACCAGUGGCGAAGGCGGCACUCUGGACGAUUACUGACACUGAGACGCGAAAGCGUGGGGAGCAAACAGG